AGAUGGCUAGGGUGUGGGUGAGGGGCAAAGGCAGGCUGAAAACACUGGAGAGACAGGCCCAGCUCUGCGCAAGGGCACACACCUCCUUCCUUUACACACUCAAUACAAGCUGUAAAUCCUUCUUUCGCAGGUCAGGGCAUAACCUGGACCAAACGGGAAGUUUAAGGCAAAAUAAAAGCAGGGCAUUAACUUGGACCAACCGGGAAAUUUAAGGCAGCCUCUCUGAACUAAAUAGUUUAAAAAUCUGUCCAUUUAGUAGUAACCGCAAAGUUUGGCCUAGAGACUAAAACAUCUGCUUCCUGAUUUGGGGGUGGAGAUGAAGGGGAGUGUAAGGUAGAAAACGGCGGGAAAUGAAGACCUAAAGAAAGAAAGAACAGGCUUGGGGGAGGGUAAGAGGCACCGCAAGAAGCCAACGAAUGACACCGAGGCUGAGGCGCGUGCGCCAGCCCUCCACAUGCGCAGGCGGACGCCUGGUGUUCUCGCGGGAAAGAACCGUUGCGCCCGACUUUGCGCGGAGGUAGGAGGGGGAAGUGGAGGCGGGAGUGAAGUCUCGCGAGAAGAGUCGGUUGCCGUAGCAGAGCCCUCUAGCUGUGUGUGUCUGAGGCUCGGCCGCCUGAGCCGCGGACGGUUUGCUGAGCCCGUUAGUGCGCCCGGCCGAGACACGCCGCCGCCAUGUCCCGCUACCUGCGUCCCCCCAACACGUCUCUGUUCGUCAGGAACGUGGCCGACGACACCAGGUCUGAAGACUUGCGGCGUGAAUUUGGUCGUUAUGGUCCUAUAGUUGAUGUGUAUGUUCCACUUGAUUUCUACACUCGCCGUCCAAGAGGAUUUGCUUAUGUUCAAUAUCCUUUCUUCAGAUGGCUGAUUAGUGAGGGGUGUUGAAGUUUGAAAUUCAAGUUUAUAGAAUGUAAAGCUGUACAGUUAUGGCGACCCCAAAGAGAAAGCAUGAAAGAACCUUUAGAGUAGAGUUCAACACUUAAGGCAAGUAGACAAGCCAAAGACCUCUUAAGGAUCAGGCUUGAAGAGAAGGGAGAGUUUGGGAAAAGAAAAAAUAAAGAAAAGCUGGAAGAAGGACAAGCCUAAUGGGAGACAAAGCCUCGCUUUAUCUACAAAAGGGGGAAAAGGUUGUUUUUCAAAGUUAAAGAUAAAGCCAUCUGUCAUAUUUGGCCAAGCAUCUCAUGACAAGUCCUUCUGACAAGCACUUAAAGAGUUAAAGGUCAAGAUGAAGUUGAAUGAUGGCCAAGAUUAAAGGAGUCAUACCUGAUACGCUUUACAUAAUUUGGAUAGAAAGUGGAUUUGUGGACGGCAGAUUGAAAUACAGUUUGCCCAGGGGGAUCGAAAGACACCAAAUCAGAUGAAAGCCAAGGAAGGGAGGAAUGUGUACAGUUCUUCACGCUAUGAUGAUUAUGACAGAUACAGACGUUCUAGAAGCCGAAGUUAUGAAAGGAGGAGAUCAAGAAGUCGGUCUUUUGAUUACAACUAUAGAAGAUCGUAUAGUCCUAGAAACAGUAGACCGACUGGAAGACCACGGCGUAGCAGAAGCCAUUCCGACAAUGAUAGACCAAACUGCAGCUGGAAUACCCAGUACAGUUCUGCUUACUACACUUCAAGAAAGAUCUGAAAGCGGAAAAAGAACCAAAGAAGGGCAGUUCAAGCGACCAAAGGGUGGGUGGAAGGUGCUGCAGUAUGAAUACUGUACGAAUAUUUUGACUCUGGUCUGAAAAGAUAAAAGAAUGUUAUCGAAAACUACAUGGAAUAAUUGAAGUCCCUUCAAGUUUGAAAGUAAGCAUUUUAGGACAAAUAAAAGGAAAUUCAACUUUGUACUUGUGGAAACUAAUCCCUAAAUAUGAAUAGGUUUAUAUUGAUUCAUGGGUAACAGGUCCAUAAUAAAUUAUUGGAAACUAGGAUGUCUGAAUAUCAAGGAAGACAGCCAUAGUCUCUUACAGUGCCUCUGUUGGUCUGUCUCAAACUGAAUUGGGUGGGAAAAGGUAUGGUCCAAUAUAAAAGUUCCAUUUUUGCCAUUAUUGGCAAAUCUUGCCUUUGUUUAUUUUGGUGCCAGUGUUUUCUGCUUAAUCAUUUGCUUUGUUGGCAUCUGUGUUUAUUUACUUGUACACCACAUGCAGUUUACAUCUGUCUUAACUACUCCUUCCCAGGUAAAUUCCAAUUAUAUUUGACAUCCAGCUAAGAGGGCCCGUCUCUUCUCACCUCUUUCCUAGUCAGUAUAUUCAGCAAAUAUUUAUUGAGCCCUUACUGUGGGCAAAUCAUUGUACUGGAUAAUUGAGAAAAAUAGAUAAUUCCCUUAUUCAGUAAAUGUCUACUGAGCACAAUCUAGUGAAUCAUUACAGUAUGGCCUCAUUGUUUUGUUUGAGGUGUGUUAUUCAUAACAAUAUUUUACACCAUUCGUAUCAAUGUAAUUAUAGAACACAAUAUACAAUCAAGGAUAAGUAAUUGUGUGGUUAUCUGCCAUUUAAAAGUAUCCAGUAUUUGAUCCCAUUAUUAGAAAUAAUGAAAAAAUGAUUUCUUUUAAUCUGUAAUAAACUGGUUUAUUGUGCAGUGACUGUAAUAUACUAGAGUUAUAAUAAAUUGUUUACUCUGCCUCACCAAACACAUGCUAGGAUAUAACCCCCAAAAUAAGUAUUUAACUUUGCAUUAGAUAUAAAGGAGACUGGGUGCUAUAAUUAGAUUAUUUUGAGGCAGACAGAGAGCUGUUAUCCUAACUGAUUUAGUAUGUUCUGUAAUUGAGAAAAUGUUCACCAAAUUAUACUUUUUAGUGAUUUACAUGUACAUUUUAUAGGGGACAUGUUCUGUGUAUAGCGAAUAAAUAACUUUUAUAGUAUCACAAAA
rnacentral:sRNA from 1 species